UGCCACUCUUAGCGGGGUGGCUUUUCAGAAGUGUAAAAAGCUUCUGGAAUAAGGGCUGGGCAAGACCGGUGCCAGCCGCCGCGGUAACACCGGCAGCUCAAGUGGUAGCCGCUUUUAUUGGGCCUAAAGCGUCCGUAGCCGGUCUGAUAAGUCUCUGGUGAAAUCCCACAGCUUAACUGUGGGAAUUGCUGGAGAUACUAUCAUGACUCGAGGUCGGGAGAGGCUGGAGGUACUCCCAGGGUAGGGGUGAAAUCCUGUAAUCCUGGGAGGACCACCUGUGGCGAAGGCGUCCAGCUGGAACGAACCUGACGGUGAGGGACGAAAGCCAGGGGCGCGAACCGGAUUAGAUACCCGGGUAGUCCUGGCCGUAAACGAUGUGGACUUGGUGUUGAGAUGGCUUCGAGCUGCCCCAGUGCCGAAGGGAAGCUGUUAAGUCCACCGCCUGGGAAGUACGGCCGCA
rnacentral:rRNA from 1 species